ACAGGUUCACUGAGCCCCACAUCCAGGCGGGUUGUGCUAAUUGCUUGCUGUUUUUCCUACAAGCAGAACCUGCAGACCUGUCUACCUAAAGAUCUAGUUGGAAGUACUUUGCUGCGACAGGCUGGCAGAAAAGAGAGGCUUUCAGGGGCUCUGCUCUCUGGACCCCAACUUUAUUUCUAAAAAUGUGAAGAUAACUCACAAGUCCUUUGUUGGAAGCAUAUCUGGGCCUCAGAGCCAGAUAAGAUCUGCAAUGAGUUGGAGCUUUGUCACUUACCAUGCGAUGCAGGCAUGUCACCCAUAGAAAGGGUUGUUGUGAGGAUUAAAUAAGAUGAUGUGUGGGAAGGGCUUGGCAUAGCACAGUGCCUGGAACUUGCUAAGUGUUCAGUGAGUGUCGAUCAGCAGUCAUACUGUGCACCAGGAAAGAGGUCCAAGCCAAGCUGGAGCCCCUUAGGAGACAGUGUAGGAACUGGGGCUCCUACAUGUCCCACUCCCACGGGAGCUCAGUGAGAGCCCCUCCAGGGCCAGAGACCCUUGCUGACACUUGUUGAACAACAGGGAGACCUCAAGCCACAGGCCACAGAACCUUUGAGCCUGUCCUUCUUCCUGGCACAAAAAGAACGGGUAUGAACCCUCUUCUGCAAAGCAGAAGAGCAGCAACAUCCAUGCAGGUGUGAGGGUCAGUGACUUCCCACUCCCAUACGCCUGAGUCCUGCUCACCACUCUGCAGGUCACGGGGUCUCGAUUGCUUCCGAGUGCCCGCAAACUCCCUUGUAACCCCCCAACACCCAUGUUGGCAUGCUGGAGCAGACCGUGGGAGAAUUUUGAUAACCCAAAACAAAGCCUGGUUAUUUAACACACGCAUCGCCUGCUUUCAAAUGAGCUCAGCCUUGGAAACUGCAGAAGUUUCUAAUGGUGCUGACUUCUCACUGUUGAUGGCCUGUCACAAUUUGUAGAUUCUAGUGGGAAUGAGUGAGGCUUGAGGGGCAUUAAAGAUGAUCUUGCCAGUGGUGUAGUAGAAAUAGCAGAGGGCCUAGAGCCUAGAUUUCUCAGUGCUAGACAUGGUGAUUCACCAAAUAGCUGGGUGGCUUUGGACACGUGCUGAACCUCUCAUGCCUGACUCUCUUUCCACAUAAGCAUCAUGAUAGGGUUAUUUUUACCCCUUCCCACCUCACAGGGCAAUUGUUAGGGUAAAUGAGGUUAAAGUACUUUACACAUGCAUAGCACUUGCACUUUCUCAAUAGUGCUUGGUGGGGAGAAAAUUCUCCACGGGUCUUUUGCCUGGAAAGGCAGAAGCCUGUUUUGCCAAGAGAGACACGGACCGCUUUUGUUCCGGACUAGCUUUCCAAGGGUGUUUGUGCAGAGAGCAGCCUGGGAAGAUACAGUCAGUGUCUCUGUCUCCAGAGGAAAGGGCAGGCUUCCUACUCAUACUAAAAAUAAGUGACUUUCCUAAACUCAGGUUCCUGCCUGGUGUGACCGUCUCACCCGGCCUCUUCACAUCGCGCUCUGGGUAUUGGAGUCUACGGAUCCCACACAAGAAAAUGCCGAGACUCUGGCUACUGCUGUUGCAAGGCCCUUGAUGGUGGACAGACCCCAGCACGGCCCUGGACAGAUUGUGAGGCACAGAGAAGUCACCUGCCACCUCCCCACCGUCAGAACAAUGAUGGCAGACACCACCAGGUCCUGAGGCUCUCCUGGCCUUUGGGCACUGUUCCUGCUGCCUUACAGACAUGAUCUCAUUGAACACUCAUGAACACUCACAACAUCAUAAGCCUCACUCGGGCAUCUAUGCUAGACACUGAGGGGACAGCAGAGAGCCAAGAAGACAAAAACCUUGGCUGUCAGAGAAAGAGGUUGCGUUCUAGUGGGGGAAAUAGACAAAAUAAGGAACACACAUGGUACAGUUGUGUGUCACUUAACAGUGGGGAUAUGUUAUGAGAAAUGUGAAGGCAAUUUCAUCAUCGUGUGAACAUCAUAAUGUUAUAGGAGUUAAUAAGAAAUUAUUUUAGGCAGAUAGGGAAAGCGGUCCUUGGAAAGUUUUUGUUUCUUUUAAAGCAGCUAAAGAAAAGUUUCUUAUCUAGCAGGAAAGCUCCGGCUCUUAGAGCUAGGCCGGCAACCUCUGAUAUGCAAAUAAAUGCUGGCCAUUAGAAAAUGGGUCCACCCAAACAUGGCGAUUCUCACCCUCUUCCUUGCCCUCACAUGUGCCUGGCAACAUGGCGGCACCCCCAUAUCCCCAUGUGUGUAGAAUAUCAUGGCGCCCUGCAUUUGCAAAAAAAAAAAAAAAGUGUAUAUAUAACUUCUGUUAAUCAAAAGUCGCAACUAAGAAAAUAAAAAUGCAAGCCACAAAGUGGGAGAAGUUACUUGCAAUACAUUUCCUAACAAAGGAUUCGUAUCUAAAAUAUAUAAAGAAUUCCUACAAAUUAAUAAGGAAAGGGUAGAUGACCGCAAAGAAACAUUACAAAGUCUUGAAUAAACACAGAAGACAAUAUCCAAAUGGCCAAUAACAUAGGAAAAAGUAUUCGACUCCAUCACUCAUCAAGGAAAUGCAAAUUAAAACCACAAUGAGGCCUGGCGCGGUGGCUCAUGCCUGCAAUCCCAGCACUUUGAGAGGCUGAGGCAGGCGGAUCACGAGGUCAGGAGAUUGAGACCAUCCCGGCUAACAUGGUGAAACCCCGUCUCUACUAAAAAAAUACAAAAAGUUAGCUGGGGGUGGUGGCACACGCCUGUAGUCCCAGCUACUCAGGAGGCUGAGGCAGGAGAAUCGCUUGAACCUGGGAGGCAUAGGUUGCCGUGAGCUGAGAUCACGCCACUGCACUCCAGCCUGAGCAACAGAGUGAGACUCCAUCUCAAAAAAAAAAAAACAAACAAAACCAAAACAAAAACAAAAAACCCCAAAAAACACCACAAUGAGGUGUCUGUAGACACACAUCAAAAUGUUUCAAAAUUAUUAAAAUAUUGACCGCAUAAAGCGUUAGUGCGAUGGUUAAUUUUAGGUGUCAUCUAAACUGUGCCACAGAGUGCCUCAUUAAAUCAUAUUUCUGGAUGUGGCUGCGAGGGUGUUUCUGGAUGAGAUUAGCAUUUGAAGGAGUGGACUCAGUGAGGCAGGUUUUCCUCCCCAGUGUGGAUGGGUACCAUCCAAUCCGUUGAGGGGCUGAAUGGAACAAAAAAAGCAGCGAAGAGUGAAUUUGCCAAAUUUUGCUUCCAGCCUUCCUGUUUGAGCUGGGACAUCAGUCCUCUGCUGCCCUUGGACUGGGAUUCACAUCGUUGGCUCUGGCCUUUGGACUUGGACUUAGACUGGAAUCACAGCACUGGUUUUCCUGGGUCUCCAGCUUGCAGAUGGCAGAUCACAGGAUUUCUCAGCCUCUAUAAUCACCUUAAGCCAAUUCAUUAUAAUGAAUCUCUUCCUAUGGCCUAUUUGUUCUAUUUCUCUGGAGAGCCCUAACUAAUACAACCAGUGGGUUGUGAGGCAAUGGGAACUACUUCCACUGCCUAUUCAAGACUUUUGAAUGAUUCUUUCUGGUCGUCUGUCUUUUCCUUAUUGAUUUGUAGGAAUUCUUUAUAUAUUUUAGAUGUGAAUCCUUUGUUAGGAAAUAUAUUGCAAGUAUCUUCUCCCAUUUUAUGGCUUGCCAUUUCAUUUUCUUAGUUAUGGUUGUAGCAGUAUAAAUUGGUACAAUCACUUUGGAAAACUGGUUGCAAGUAUCUAUUAAAACUGA
rnacentral:lncRNA from 10 species